rnacentral:rRNA from 1 species
UACGUAGGGGGCAAGCGUUGUCCGGAAUCAUUGGGCGUAAAGCGCGUGUAGGCGGCUCGGUAAGUCUGCUGUGAAAGUCCAGGGCUCAACCCUGGAAUGCCGGUGGAAACUGGCGGGCUAGAGUCCGGAAGAGGCGAGUGGAAUUCCUGGUGUAGCGGUGAAAUGCGCAGAUAUCAGGAGGAACACCAAUGGCGAAGGCAGCUCGCUGGGACGGUACUGACGCUGAGACGCGAAAGCGUGGGGAGCAAACAGG